rnacentral:rRNA from 1 species
AUUAGAUACCCUAUUAUUUUUAAUGUAAACAAAAGUAUAAACUGGAGUAUUAAUAGUUAUGAUCUUAAAACUUAAAGAAUUUGGCGGUAUUAUAGUCUAUUUAGAGGAAUCUGUUAUGUAAUCGAUAAUCCACGUUAAACCUUACUUAAAUUAUUUCUUGUAUACCGCUGUUUAAGAAUAUAUUUUUAGAUAAUUUUCUGAAUAUAAAAUUAAUUAAUAUUUCAAGUCAAGGUGCAGUAAUAUUUAAGUUGAAUAAUGGAUUACAAUAAAUUUUAUUUAUUAUGAAUUACUGUUUAAAAUUAGUUUGAAGGUGGAUUUAAUUGUAAUUUUUUAAAGAUUGUUAAAAUGAUUUAAAGCCCUAUAAUAUGUACACAUCGCCCG